rnacentral:rRNA from 1 species
AUUUAACAGUAUGCGGCGUAAAGAGUGGUACUACGAUAUCAAAGCAACUAGGGUUGAAAUGCAACUAAGCCGUCAUAAGCCUAAGAUGCACCUAAGAUCUCCUUUAAGAUGACCCUAGCACCUUCGAUCAAUUUAACUCCACGAAAGCUAGGACACAAACUGGGAUUAGAUACCCCACUAUGCCUAGCCCUAAAUCUUGAUGUUUAUUAUACCAAAACAUCCGCCCGAGAACUACGAGCACAAACGCUUAAAACUCUAAGGACUUGGCGGUGCCCUAAAUCCACCUAGAGGAGCCUGUUCUAUAAUCGAUAACCCACGAUACACCCGACCACCCCUCGCCAAAGCAGCCUAUAUACCGCCGUCGCCAGCUCACCUUCCCUGAGAGCACAGUAGUGAGCACAAUAGCCUAAACCCGCUAGCAAGACAGGUCGAGGUAUAGCUUAUGGGGCGGAAGAAAUGGGCUACAUUUUCUACAAUAGAAAACCUACGGAAGGGGACAUGAAAUUACCCCCGGAAGGCGGAUUUAGCAGUAAAGGGGGACAAUAGAGCCCCCUUUAAGUUGGCCCUAGGGCACGUACAUACCGCCCGUCACCCUCCUCACAAGCCACAAGCUUCCAUAACUAAUAUGCCUAAUGGCUGAAGAUGAGGUAAGUCGUAACAA